UGGGACUACAGGCGCCCGCCACCACGCCCAGCUAAUUUUUUGUAGAGACGGGGUUUCACCGUGUUAGCCAGGAUGGUCUCGAUCUUCUGACCUCGUGAUCCGCCUGCCUCGGCCUCCCAAAGUGCUGGGAUUACAGGCUUGAGCCACUGCGCCCGGCCAGAAGGAGGAAGAUUUUUAAUCAGUUAUCUUAACAUCUUUUUCAUCUAAGACACUGACAUUCUGCUUGGUUUAUUGACAAAGAUAGAAAUGAAAAACAAAAAUGAAAAUAUACAGGGGCAAAAACGACACGGAAUAUCUUCGUCUAGAGCAAAUAUUGUGGGAACUCAAGAAAGACGAUGUUCCAAAGUCAACCUCAAGUUUGGAAUUGCAAGAAAGAACCACAGAUUAAAAUGGAACUGGAAUCAACUGAACCCUGGAUACUCUCUCUAAUGAGAGCUCUGUACAGGAACCACAUAUUAUACUGUCC
rnacentral:lncRNA from 1 species